rfam:Trichoderma harzianum strain T6776 Scaffolds0588.1, whole genome shotgun sequence.
UCCUCUGUGGCGCAAUUGGCUAGCGCGUCUGACUGUUAAUCAGGAGGUUGGAAGUUCGAGCCUUCC